CCUACGGGAGGCAGCAGUGGGGAAUAUUGGGCAAUGGGCGCAAGCCUGACCCAGCAACGCCGCGUGAAGGAAGAAGGCUUUCGGGUUGUAAACUUCUUUUAAGAGGGAAGAGCAGAAGACGGUACCUCUUGAAUAAGCCACGGCUAACUACGUGCCAGCAGCCGCGGUAAUACGUAGGUGGCAAGCGUUGUCCGGAUUUACUGGGUGUAAGGGGCGUGCAGCCGGGAAGACAAGUCAGAUGUGAAAUCCCGCGGCUCAACCGCGGAACUGCAUUUGAAACUGUUUUUCUUGAGUACCGGAGAGGUCAUCGGAAUUCCUUGUGUAGCGGUGAAAGGCGUAGAUAUAAGGAAGAACACCAGUGGCGAAGGCGGAUGACUGGACGGCAACUGACGGUGAGGCGCGAAAGCGUGGGGAGCAAACAGGAUUAGAUACCCCAGUAGUC
rnacentral:rRNA from 1 species